rnacentral:lncRNA from 1 species
GGGGGUUGAAAUUGAACUCUUGUUUUGAUUGGUUCUUAGUUAUUGGCGGUUAAGUUGAGUUUUCCUUUGUGUACCUUGGGUAGAAUUUACCUGGACACUGGUCAGUGAAAGACGUCCAUUAUUGUGCUCAGAUUAUAUUAUAUCAGAAACCCAUAUUGACAGAUUAUAUUUACUAUAUUCAGCUUUACAGUUUUCCAGACAUGACUAGUAAGUUGCACUUCCUUCUUUAUUAACAUUUUGACACGAAUUAAUAGAUUUGGUUAACUUUCCUAUUUUCGAGUAAAUACUCUUCAGAUUGCAUGUUUAUAACAUCGGAAUGAAAGAUUUGAAUGAGCGUAUUUUUGGUAAAGAAGCUAGGUCAUAUUUUUAUAAAGUAAUGUAAUAUUUGCCGCUGAUCAUAGCGUAAUUAUGUAAUGUUUAGAGAUAUCGUAAUAACAGUAUUUUACGAAUACUGCAUGUAGAAAAAUGGCGGCAUGUAUGAUAAGUUACAGUAUAUUGUGAAAAGAAUAUUCGAGUUACAUAUUGUGUAAUGCUAUUUUUAUAUGGACGAAUUGAAUACCAUUGUCAUGUGAUUAGUAUUUUAUAUAAUUACGAAGAGUCCGUUCUUAUUAUUGUAUUUUGGUUUUCAGGACUCUGAUGUAGAUUAUUUACUUUGUGCCAAGUUCCUUAUUUACUGGAGAACUCACUCCACAAGUGGUA